UCCAGCGGCCGCGGGGGCCGGACGAAGACGAAGAGGAAGCGGCCGAAGAGUCCCGGAGUCGUUGAAUCUCUCCGUGUUGGGGACGGUCGGGAAUCAUCGUCCCCCAACCCCCCAAGCGGGACUUUGCAGCAGGACCGGCUCCGGAGCCCGCCGGAGUGACCCCAACGCGAGCGUACGCCCCCACACACCUCAACGAUAGCCAGCUUGCCUCGGGAGCCGGUAAUGCACAACCGGAUCUUCAGCCAAGGGACCACGAUUCGCCGGGGACUCCGGGUUUGAUCUUCCCAGCACCGUGCAGCGCCGAGGGCCCUGAGCCAUAAGGGGAACUGGGGGGAUGGUGGGGAGAGCCUAGCACCCAACCUUUCUGCGCUGCUAGCUCUGGUGUUUCCUAAACGCAGGGGGUGACUCGGGCGCCCCCUCCCCAAGACUCAGGGGAAGGUAGGGAAUUGUGUAGGGGCUCUUUUUUAGUAAGCUGAGGCUCUCCCGAAGAAGAGAGCACCAAAAGUAGCGGAGCUCAGGUACGUCAACCUAGUUGCAGUGGCCAGACAUGCGUUUAAUUUAUAGAUCCCUGUAUAUAGUUGUUGACAUAUGCACUAGACGCUAUAAUCACAUAGGACUAUGUAUCUCCCCACACCCUGUGUAGCUACUGAAUGGUGGGGUCCAGCAAGGGCUAUUUGCUGGCCUUCAAAUUGCACUUAGCCUGAGGGCACAAACACAGCUUUUAUUUUUCUUUUCCAUCACCCACUCUUUCACCUGUUCUCCUCCUGUUUCAGAAAGAUAAGUUUCUGACGUUCUUACACAAGAGUAUAAUCAUUCUUAGACUGCUACCAUGACAGUGGAAAAACCUUAGCAAUAGAAACUGUUUAGGGAGAGUGGGGACUGUGCUGAUCCCCCUCCGGUUCCCAUCCUAGUGCUCCCACCAAAGUGGCUUCCUGUUGUAGCUUGAAUCUCUGGAUCCGUGCCAGGGGCAAUGGAGAGAAAGAGUAAGGCUGCUGUGUUUAGAUUGGUCCCUUCCCCUCACAGAACUCCUUUAGGAAGAGCAAGCCUUUUUAAGUAUACUGAUUGGCAAGUGUUUUCUCCCAUUCCUUUCCCGACUCCUCAACUAUCUUAUCGGUUCCAGAUCUUGUCUUAUUUAAUUUCUUGCUCUUCUAGAUCUUGUCUUACUCAUUUUUGCAUUUCCUAUUUUCUGAGCCCAACACAGCAGCUUGCUGUUAGGAACAAAUCAGUUGCAAAACCAGAGCUUUGAUGUGGUUCUGAGUUGCUUUAUUGGGUAAGAAAGAGCAGAAGGUAGACUUCAGGCUCAGGAGUGUGCUUAGAUAGCGAGUAAAGAGACCGGCUAUGGGAAGGUUGAAUUGGCAGCUUGUCUUUCUCAUUCCUUAUAAGCUUCCACUUAAAUGCAGCCAACAAUUUUCUAGAGGUGGUGACACACACACACACAGAAACACACAGCUCCAGGGCAGCAGGAAUUAUUCUUUGUUUAGAUUCCAUUCCCUCCUGCCACUUGCUUUUAGGCAAUAGAGUGUGGGUAGUGACAGAGAUCAAACCCCCUAGUGUUUCCUUUUUGGGAAAUAAGCUAUUUAAAAAAGAAACAAAACAGGAACCUUGCCCACCUUAGUCCUGAAACUGUCUAUCCACUUUUCUGGCCUACCUUGUAGUUAGCUCUGAUUCAGGUUUACAGGACAACAGUCUUGAUUUAAGCCAUGUCCUGUCCUGGGCAAGAAAAUAGCAACUAAGCUGGCAGCCUCCCAGCAGGCUGCCAACACCCCAAGGUGUCUGGGCUUGGAGAUUUCUUCACAGCUGAUGAGGACUUAAGUCAUUAGGAAGCCCAUGGGGACUUUUUAAAUUUUUGAUGAGAGACUGGGGGGAAGAAACAUAAAAUGCCACUUUGUAUCUUCAAUAAUAGCCUGUCAUUUAUAUUCAUGGUGUGAAUUUUUAGUCCUAUAUUUUAAUAAUUUGUAAAUUGAUCUCUUAUUCCAAGAAUCCUCUGGACUCGUGGGAGAGUGUCUGGGAGUCCAUUCCUCUUCCCCUCCUGACCCUGCUUUAUGGACUGUUUAAAUCCACUUUGGAUCAAAGAGUUCAGCAAGACCACUUGUGGUCCAGCUGGCCUCCUGACUCUAUAAGCCUUCACUGGAAUUGGGACAUUUUCUCCAGCCCUAGCUGUGAACAUGACCAGAGACAUUAUUUAUAAUUCAGCCAUUCAAGAUAUACCUGUACUUUAAAAGUCCUGUAUAUUUUUUAAAAGUUUUAUUUUUCAGGUGAACAAAAAUACAUUCUAAGAACUCUGCCUAAGUCUGUGUAAUGGAUCAUUUCUCACUGACUCGGUGGAGGAGGAGCAG
ensembl:lncRNA